AUUGAACGCUGGCGGCAGGCUUAACACAUGCAAGUCGAACGGUAACAUAAAGAAGCUUGCUUCUUUGAUGACGAGUGGCGGACGGGUGAGUAAUGCUUGGGAAUCUAGCUUAUGGAGGGGGAUAACUACGGGAAACUGUAGCUAAUACCGCGUAGUAUCGAGAGAUGAAAGUGUGGGACCUUCGGGCCACAUGCCAUAGGAUGAGCCCAAGUGGGAUUAGGUAGUUGGUGAGGUAAAGGCUCACCAAGCCGACGAUCUCUAGCUGGUCUGAGAGGAUGACCAGCUACACUGGGACUGAGGCACGGCCCAGACUCCUACGGGAGGCAGCAGUGGGGAAUAUUGCGCAAUGGGGGCAACCCUGACGCAGCCAUGCCGCGUGAAUGAAGAAGGCCUCCGGGUUGUAAAGUUCUUUCGGUAGCGAGGAAGGCAUUUAGUUUAAUAGACUAGGUGA
rnacentral:rRNA from 1 species